UACGAAGGGUGCAAGCGUUGCUCGGAAUUAUUGGGCGUAAAGGGUAGGUAGGUGGUCAUACAAGUCUGGGGUGAAAUCCCUGAGCUCAACUCAGGACGUGCCUUGGAAACUGUGUGACUAGAGUAUUGGAGAGGUUCGUGGAAUUCCCGGUGUAGCGGUGAAAUGCGUAGAGAUCGGGAGGAACAUCAGAGGCGAAGGCGACGAACUGGACAAUCACUGACACUGAACUACGAAAGCGUGGGGAGCAAACAGG
rnacentral:rRNA from 1 species